rnacentral:lncRNA from 1 species
GACAAUACGUAAGGUUCUGCACCGCCCGCGGUGCACAAAGAAUUUCGCUUAGACUUUGAUGGAACUACGGUUUAGCCAGAGCCCCGUUCAAUUGAUGUAGAAACAUUCGGACAGAGCCCCGUUCAAUUGAUGUAGAAACAUUCGGACGUGGGCUUGAAGGUCCACUUACAAUCGGGCCUGCUGGUCAUAGCUUCAGAUGGGUGAGACUUAAGUCCUAAAAGCUUAUUUCGGCACGCGCAAUGCACGUCCUUUAUUAGCGCA